GACGAACGCUGGCGGCGUGCCUAAUACAUGCAAGUAGAACGCACAGUUUAUACCGUAGCUUGCUACACCAUAGACUGUGAGUUGCGAACGGGUGAGUAACGCGUAGGUAACCUGCCUGGUAGCGGGGGAUAACUAUUGGAAACGAUAGCUAAUACCGCAUAAUAUUGAUUAUUGCAUGAUAAUUGAUUGAAAGAUGCUAUUGCAUCACUACCAGAUGGACCUGCGUUGUAUUAGCUAGUAGGUGAGGUAACGGCUCACCUAGGCGACGAUACAUAGCCGACCGGAGAGGGUGAUCGGCCACACUGGGACUGAGACACGGCCCAGACUCCUACGGGAGGCAGCAGUAGGGAAUCUUCGGCAAUGGACGAAAGUCUGACCGAGCAACGCCGCGUGAGUGAAGAAGGGUUUCGGAUCGUAAAGCUCUGUUGUAAGAGAAGAACGGGUGUGAGAGUGGAAAGUUCACACUGUGACGGUAUCUUACCAGAAAGGGACGGCUAACUACGUG
rnacentral:rRNA from 1 species